AUGAAGGUAACCCAGGGAACUGAAACAUCUAAGUACCUGGAGGAAGAGAAAGAAAAAUCGAUUUUCUUAGUAGCGGCGAGCGAAAGGGAAAGAGCCCAAACCGGAAACUUGUUUCCGGGGUUGUGGACAUAGCAUGAAAGUGGAGGCUAUUGUAACUGAAGAGAACUGGAAAGUUCCACCGUAGAAGGUAAUAGUCCUGUAAGUGAAACGAGAAGACCACGAGUUAUGAUCCAGAGUACCACGAGACACGUGAAACCUUGUGGGAAGCAGGGAGGACCACCUCCCAAGGCUAAAUACUACCUGAUGACCGAUAGUGAAGCAGUACCGUGAGGGAAAGGUGAAAAGAACCCCGGGAGGGGAGUGAAAUAGAACCUGAAACCGUGUGCCUACAACCGCUCAGAGCCCCUUAUGAGGGUGAUGAGGUGCUUUUUGUAGAACGAGCCAACGAGUUACGGUAUGUAGCAAGGUUAAGUACUUAAGGUACGGAGCCGAAGGGAAACCGAGUCUGAAUAGGGCGACUAGUUGCAUGCCGUAGACCCGAAACCGGGUGACCUAUCCAUGGCCAGGUUGAAGCGAGGGUAAAACCUCGUGGAGGACCGAACCACGUUGCUGUUGAAAAAGCAUGGGAUGAGCUGUGGAUAGCGGAGAAAUUCCAAUCGAACCCGGAGAUAGCUGGUUCUCUCCGAAAUAGCUUUAGGGCUAGCGUCGAGUAUGAGUAGUGGAGGUAGAGCACUGAAUGGGCUAGGGGGCAUAGCGCUUACCGAACCUUAUCAAACUCCGAAUGCCACAUACUUUGAGCUCGGCAGUCAGACUACGAAUGAUAAGAUCCGUGGUCAAAAGGGAAACAGCCCAGAUCGUCAGCUAAGGUCCCAAAGUGUAAGUUAAGUGGGAAAGGAUGUGAGAUUUCUAAGACAACUAGGAUGUUGGCUUAGAAGCAGCCAUUCAUUAAAAGAGUGCGUAAUAGCUCACUAGUCGAGAGAUCUUGCGCCGAAAAUGUAACGGGGCUAAACUUACCACC
rnacentral:rRNA from 1 species